AACAGCUCAAGCCCACAACUCGUUACGUAUCGGCGUCAGUCUCACAGAUUUUAAAUACGUCUACCAAGGAGAGGUUUCGAUACCCUUAUAAGAAAUGUUUCGCUUCACUCUCCAACCGUGAGAU